rnacentral:antisense_RNA from 1 species
CGCCCUUAUAAGAAGAGGAAGAGAGAGAGCGCUUUCCACUGAAAUGUACCAAGGAAAGGCUGUGUGAGGACAUAGCCCAGAAGAGGUCCUCACCAGAGCCCAGCUAUGCUGGCACCCUGACCUCCUGCUCCAGCCUCCAGACUGUGAGGAAAUACGUUUCCAUGGUUGAAGCCACCCAGUCUAUGGUACUUUGUUGUGGCUGCCUGAGCUAAGACACCAUCACACAACGACCGGGGAGGCUCUUUGGCCGUGGUCAGCAGGGGCAGCUAUGCCACUGCCUGUGGGUGCCACGCCUGCCUCACAGCAGCAACUUCCUCAUAAGAGAGUCUCUGCUGUUAUUUAGAUGUGUGUCUUGUCUCCCAGACUCAGAUACAAGCCCGUCAAGGCAGUGAGGUUCACAUCUUUUUUUCUGACUUGUCUGCAAACCUCUCAUGAGGAUUGUUGCACAGUCGUGUUUGGGUAAUGCCACGUACAGUCUUUCCUUCUUAGGCAAUUAUAUUAGCAAUUAAAGGCUCUGAGAAGUUUUGCAAUGAAGAUGCUGUCAUAAAUUUGUUUAAUUCAGCAUUUGACAACAAAACUGAUUUUCCUAGCAACAUUUUGGUCCAGAGAGAAGGUGAUGCAAGAUGUAGAAAUGACUGAGGGUAUGGUGGACACUUGUUCACUAUGCCAGAAAUAAAAGAUCAUUGAAGUGAAAUUGGUUAAAACUACAA